rnacentral:rRNA from 3 species
GGACCGAACCGACUAAUGUUGAAAAAUUAGCGGAUGACCUGUGGCUGGGGGUGAAAGGCCAAUCAAACCGGGAGAUAGCUGGUUCUCCCCGAAAGCUAUUUAGGUAGCGCCUCGUGAAUUCAUCUCCGGGGGUAGAGCACUGUUUCGGCUAGGGGGCCAUCCCGGCUUACCAACCCGAUGCAAACUGCGAAUACCGGAGAAUGUUAUCACGGGAGACACACGGCGGGUGCUAACGUCCGUCGUGAAGAGGGAAACAACCCAGACCGCCAGCUAAGGUCCCAAAGUCAUGGUUAAGUGGGAAACGAUGUGGGAAGGCCCAGACAGCCAGGAUGUUGGCUUAGAAGCAGCCAUCAUUUAAAGAAAGCGUAAUAGCUCACUGGUCGAGUCGGCCUGCGCGGAAGAUGUAACGGGGCUAAACCAU